UUUUUUUUUUACUUUAUUCAACUCCUAAUCGCUGCCAAUAUAAAUACAAACACUCACGCACGUUCGUCAUAAAUUCUUAUACACAACUCCUUCCAUUUCUCCCAUCUCAAGUUUCUCGAGUUUUAUUUCAUUUCCCAAAAUAUCCCAGAAUUCAAAGAUCCUUCCUUCUGCAUUAAGCUUCUUGAAUCCAUCAAAUGGUUGCCUCUUCAGCCGUUUGAUCUUUCAAGAAGCAGAUCAGUUCAUUAAUUACAGAUUGCUUUCCGGCCCGGAAACCGUUAAAGAUGAUCGGAGAAUUUGUUACCAGAAGUUUAGUGUAAGUCAUAUAGUUAAUCUUUGGU